GCUGAUUUGUUCUUUCGUGAAAUUAUUCGCUUGCAUGGUGUGCCAAAUACUAUUGUUUCAGAUCGUGAUACUAAAUUUCUUAGCCAUUUUUGGAGAUGUUUAUGGGCUAAGUUGGGGACUAAACUGCUUUUUAGUACUACUUGUCACCCCCAAACUGAUGGACAAACUGAAGUAGUCAAUAGAACGUUGUCUACUAUGCUUAGGGCUGUUUUGAAGAAUAAUAAGAAAAUGUGGGAGGAAUGCUUGCCUCAUAUUGAAUUUGCUUAUAAUCGUUCAUUGCAUUCUACUACUAAGAUGUGCCCUUUUGAAGAUGUGUAUGGUUUCCUACCUCGUGCACCUAUUGAUUUGUUGCCUCUUCCAUCUUCGCAGAAGGUUAAUUUUGAUGCUAAACAACGUGCUGAA
rnacentral:rRNA from 1 species